UUAGCGAGGGAGCAUAUACGAUUGAGUCAGCAUUAACAACUUGCCAGAGAAUCUCAUGUUCCGGAAACAAUUGUUUUUAAGGAAACAAUUGUACACCCAAAUUUCUCAUAUGGUCAUACAAGCAGUGUAAGGGGAAAAAAUGGGACAAUGUGGAUUGUCCUUUCUAAACAAUUCUGCCUAAUUCCUACUUUUUUUUUAAUGGAAUUCUUCAUCCAUGGUCAUUCAACUCUCUCUCGCGCGCACACACAGGCACAUACAGACGCUCUUGUCUCUGGUUUAUACUGCCUCUCUCACGCAUUUUCACGUGUUAACUAACAGCCGGCCACCUUCAUUCCCUCCAGUCUGAUCCAGCCCUCUUCCUGCAAUAUUCACUGUAGGUUCUCUCGGCCCAAGUGCGCCGGAUAAUAUGCUACCUGACCUGCAGGGCAUCCCCAGCAUUUUCUAUUUGGUUUGUCCCUGAAAAGGUGCAGGGUCUAAUAUUCCACUGUUUCCAAAGGGAAUU